rnacentral:rRNA from 1 species
GACGAACGCUGGCGGCGGGCUUAACACAUGCAAGUCGAACGGAAAGGCCCUGCUUUUUUGGGGUGCUGGAGUGGCGAACGGGUGAGGAACAGGUGAGUAACGUACCCUUCACUUUGGUAUAACUUCAGGAAACUAGAGCUAAGCUCAUAUAGGAUCUGCUGCUGCAGGGUGAGGGUGGGAAAGUUGAAGCGGUUGGGGUUGGAUGCGCGGCUGAUCGGCUAGUUGGUGGGGGAGUGGCUGACCACGGAUUGCGAGGGUAGCCGGCCUGAGAGGGUGACCGGCCACCUUGCGACUGAGAGACGGACCAGACUCGUACGGGAGACAGCAGUGGGGAAUAUUGUCCAAUGGGCGGAAGCCUGAUGCAGCAACGCUGCGUGCGGGAUGACGGCCUUCGGGGAGAAAAAAGCUUUCGCCUGUGACGAAGCUGGAGUGACGGUAACCGGAAAAGAAGCACCGGCUAACUACGUG